CAGUUGGGAUCUAAUGUCGGGAAUAUUGGCCAGGCGUUUGUGUUGAGCACAUUGUGGUUGAUACAAAUACUUCUAAAUGUACUCUUCCCAACGCCUGGCUAAAAUUCCUCAACAACACAUCAGAGUGGU
rnacentral:precursor_RNA from 14 species